rnacentral:lncRNA from 1 species
AUGCUGAGAGGCGCAGCGAAGGUGCUGCCCAGGGGAGGCAGUGCCUACAGCAGGGGAGGGGGAGCUGCCUCCUCACCCCUGGGUCCUCACUCCGGGCUCCUCACUCCAGGGUCUCACUCCAGGCUCCUCACUCCAGGGUCCUCACUCCAGGAUCUCACUUCAGGGUCCUCACUGCAGGCUCCUCACUCCAGGGUCCUCACCCCAGGCUCCUCACUCCAGGGUCUCACUCCAGGGACUCACUCCGAGGUCUUCACUCCGGGGUCCUCACUCCAGGGUCUCACUCCAGGGUCUCACUCCACGGUCUCACUCCAGGGGCUCACUCCAGGGCCCUCACUGCAGGCUCCUCACUCCAGGGGCUCACUCCAGGGCCCUCACUGCAGGCUCCUCACUCCAGGGUCUCACUCCAGGGUCCUCACUGCAGGCUCCUCACUCCAGGGUCCUCACCCCAGGCUCCUCACUCCAGGGUCCUCACUCCAGGAUCUCACCCCAGGCUCCUCACUGCAGGCUCCUCACUCCAGGGUCCUCACCCCAGGCUCCUCACUCCAGGCUCCUCACUCCAGGGUCUCACUCCAGGGUCCUCACUCCAGGGUCCUCACUCCGGGGCCCUCACUCCGGGGUCUCACUCCGGGGUCCUCACUCCACGGCCUUCACUCCAGGGUCUCACUCCAGGGUCUCACUCCAGGGACUCACUCCGAGGUCCUCACUCCGGGGUCCUCACUCCAGGGUCUCACUCCAGGGUCUCACUCCACGGUCUCACUCCAGGGGCUCACUCCAGGGCCCUCACUGCAGGCUCCUCACUCCAGGGUCUCACUCAGGGUCUCACUCCAGGGGCUCACUCCAGGGGCUCACUCCAGGGCCCUCACUGCAGGCUCCUCACUCCAGGCUCCUCACUCCAGGCUCCUCACUCCAGGGUCCUCACUCCAGGAUCUCACCCCAGGCUCCUCACUGCAGGCUCCUCACUCCAGGGUCCUCACCCCAGGCUCCUCACUCCAGGCUCCUCACUCCAGGGUCUCACUCCAGGGUCCUCACUCCAGGGUCCUCACUCCGGGCUCCUCACUCCGGGGUCUCACUCUGGGGUCCUCACUCUGGGGUCCUCACUCCGGGGUCCUCACUCCGGGGUCCUCACUCCGGGGUCCUCACUCCAGGGUCUCACUCCAGGGUCUCACUCCGGGGUCCUCACUCCGGGCUCCUCACUCUGGGGUCCUCACUCCGGGGUCUCACUCCGGGGUCCUCACUCCGGGGCCCUCACUCCGGGGUCUCACUCCGGGGUCCUCACUCCACGGCCUUCACUCCAGGGUCUCACUCCAGGGUCUCACUCCAGGGUCUCACUCCAGGUCUCACUCCACGGUCUCACUCCAGGGUCUCACUCCAGGGUCUCACUCCACGGUCUCACUCCAGGGGCUCACUCCAGGGGCUCACUCCAGGGCCCUCAGUCCAGGGCCCUCACUCCGGGGUCCUCACUCCGGGGUCCUCACUCAGGGCCCUCACUCCAGGGUCUCACUCCAGGGUCUCACUCAGGGUCUCACUCCAGGUCUCACUCCACGGUCUCACUCCAGGGUCUCACUCCAGGGUCUCACUCCACGGUCUCACUCCAGGGGCUCACUCCAGGGGCUCACUCCAGGGCCCUCAGUCCAGGGCCCUCACUCCGGGGUCCUCACUCCGGGGUCCUCACUCCAGGGCCCUCACUCCAGGGUCUCACUCCAGGGUCUCACUCCAUGGUCUCACUCCAGGAGCUCACUCCAGGGGCUCACUCCAGGGCCCUCACUCCAGGGUCUCACUCCAGGGUCUCACUCCACGGUCUCACUCCAGGGGCUCACUUCAGGGGCUCACUCCAGGGCCCUCAGUCCAGGGCCCUCACUCCGGGGUCCUCACUCCGGGGUCCUCAUUCUGGGGCCCUCACUCCAGGGUCUCACUCCAGGGUCUCACUCCACGGUCUCACUCCAGGGGCUCACUCCAGGGGCUCACUCCAUGGCCCUCACUCCAGGGUCUCACUCCAGGGUCUCACUCCGGGGUCUCACUCCGGGGCCCUCACUCCGGGGCCCUCACUCUGGGGUCCUCACUCCGGGCUCCUCACUCCCGGGUCCUCACUCCCGGGGGUCUCACUCCCGGGGUCUCACUCCGUGGCCGGGCAGCAGGGUUGGCUCAGUUUCUGCGGCUCACUGA